rnacentral:rRNA from 1 species
CUACGGGUUGCUGCAGUGAGGAAUAUUGCACAAUGGAGGAAACUCUGAUGCAGCAACGCCGCGUGGAGGAUGACGCAUUUCGGUGUGUAAACUCCUUUUAUAUGUCAAGAAAAUGACGGUAGCAUAUGAAUAAGCACCGGCUAACUCCGUGCCAGCAGCCGCGGUAAUACGGAGGGUGCAAGCGUUACUCGGAAUCACUGGGCGUAAAGGACGCGUAGGCGGGAUAUCAAGUCAGGUGUGAAAUCCUACAGCUUAACUGUAGAACUGCACUUGAAACUGGUAACCUAGAGUAUGGGAGGGGGAGAUGGAAUUAGUGGUGUAGGGGUGAAAUCCGUAGAUAUCACUAGGAAUACCUAAAGCGAAGGCGAUCUCCUGGAACAUUACUGACGCUAAGGCGUGAAAGCGUGGGGAGCAAACAGGAUUAGAUACCCCCGUAGUC